GUACACUCCUGCGGGAGGCAGCAGUGGGGAAUAUUGGACAAUGGGCGCAAGCCUGAUCCAGCCAUGCCGCGUGAGUGAUGAAGGCCCUAGGGUUGUAAAGCUCUUUCACCGGUGAAGAUAAUGACGGUAACCGGAGAAGAAGCCCCGGCUAACUUCGUGCCAGCAGCCGCGGUAAUACGAAGGGGGCUAGCGUUGUUCGGAUUUACUGGGCGUAAAGCGCACGUAGGCGGACUAUUAAGUCAGGGGUGAAAUCCCGGGGCUCAACCCCGGAACUGCCUUUGAUACUGGUAGUCUUGAGUUCGAGAGAGGUGAGUGGAAUUCCGAGUGCAGAGGUGAAAUUCGUAGAUAUUCGGAGGAACACCAGUGGCGAAGGCGGCUCACUGGCUCGAUACUGACGCUGAGGUGCGAAAGCGUGGGGAGCAAACAGGAUUAGAUACCCCAGUAGUCCC
rnacentral:rRNA from 1 species